rnacentral:rRNA from 1 species
GACGAACGCUGGCGGCGUGCUUAACACAUGCAAGUCGAACGGAAAGGCCCUGCUUGCCGGGUGCUCGAGUGGCGAACGGGUGAGUAACACGUGGGUGAUCUGCCCCUUACUUUGGGAUAAGCCUGGGAAACUGGGUCUAAUACUGGAUAGGACCAUGCUGUAGGUGGUGUGGUGGAAAGAUUAGUUUCGGUAAGGGAUGAGCUCGCGGCCUAUCAGCUUGUUGGUGGGGUAAUGGCCUACCAAGGCGUCGACGGGUAGCCGGCCUGAGAGGGUGGACGGCCACAUUGGGACUGAGAUACGGCCCAGACGCCUACGGGAGGCAGCAGUGGGGAAUAUUGCACAAUGGGCGCAAGCCUGAUGCAGCGACGCCGCGUGGGGGAUGACGGCCUUCGGGUUGUAAACUCCUUUCAGCCAUGACGAAGCCCUUGUGGUGACGGUAGUGGUAGAAGGAGCACCGGCUAACUACGUG